rnacentral:misc_RNA from 1 species
GAAAUGCGAUAAGUAAUGUGAAUUGCAGAAUUCAGUGAAUCAUCGAAUCUUUGAACGCACAUUGCGCCCUCUGGUAUUCCGGGGGGCAUGCCUGUUCGAGCGUCAUUAUAACCACUCAAGCUCGCGCUUGGUGUUGGGGUUCGCGGUCCCGCGGCUCCUAAAUCCAGUGGCGGUGCCUGUCGGCUCUACGCGUAGUAAUACUCCUCGCGAUUGAGCCCGACGGGUCUACCUGCCAGCAACCCCCCAUUUUUUACAGGUUGACCUCGGAUCAGGUAGGGAUACCCGCUGAACUUAA